rnacentral:rRNA from 1 species
GACGGAGGCUGCAAGCGUUAUCCGGAAUUAUUGGGCGUAAAGGGUGCGUAGGUGGUCAGACAAGUCCCAUGUCAAAGCAUGGUGCUUAACGCCAUAAAGGCGUGGGAAACUGUCAGACUAGAGUACAGCAGGGGCAGGAGGAAUUCCAGGUGUAGCGGUGAAAUGCGUAGAUAUCGGGAAGAACACCAGUGGCGCAAGCGUUCUGCUGGGCUGUAACUGACACUGAGGCAAGAAAGCUAGGGGAGCGAAAGGG